UUGUGAAUAAUCUAACUGUUCUGAUUAUGCAGUAAACACGACAGACUAAACAUUUGCAAUAAAAGCCCAUGCAUGUGUUCUCAGACCUAGUUUUUCACCUAACUUGGUCUGGUCUUAGAAAUGCUGGUAAUAAAA